UACGGGGGGGGCAAGCGUUGUUCGGAAUUACUGGGCGUAAAGGGCUCGUAGGCGGCCAACUAAGUCGGAUGUGAAAUCCCCAGGCUUAACCUGGGAACUGCAUCCGAUACUGGAUGGCUUGAAUCCGGGAGAGGGAUGCAGAAUUCCAGGUGUAGCGGUGAAAUGCGUAGAUAUCAGGAGGAACACCGGUGGCGAAGGCGCCACUCUGGGCCACGACUGACGCUGAGGAGCGAAAGCAUGGGUAGCAAACAGG
rnacentral:rRNA from 1 species